CAGUAGCCGCGGGAAUACAGAGGGUGGGAGCGUUAAUCGGAUUUUCUGGGCGUAAAGCGUGCGUAGGCGGCUUUUUAAGUCGGAUGUGAAAUCCCUGAGCUUAACUUAGGAAUUGCAUUCGAUACUGGGAAGCUAGAGUAUGGGAGAGGAUGGUAGAAUUCCAGGUGUAGCGGUGAAAUGCGUAGAGAUCUGGAGGAAUACCGAUGGCGAAGGCAGCCAUCUGGCCUAAUACUGACGCUGAGGUACGAAAGCAUGGGGAGCAAACAGGAUUAGAUACCCCAGUAGUCCCUGUCUCUUAUAC
rnacentral:rRNA from 1 species